UACGUAGGGGGCAAGCGUUGUCCGGAUUUAUUGGGCGUAAAGAGCGUGUAGGCGGCCAAGCAGGUCCGCUGUGAAAACUCGAGGCUCAACCUCGAGAGGUCGGUGGAAACCGUUUGGCUAGAGUCCGGAAGAGGAGAGUGGAAUUCCUGGUGUAGCGGUGGAAUGCGCAGAUAUCAGGAGGAACACCGAUAGCGAAGGCAGCUCGCUGGGACGGUACUGACGCUGAGGCGCGAAAGCGUGGGGAGCGAACAGG
rnacentral:rRNA from 1 species